rnacentral:rRNA from 1 species
UACGGAGGGAGCUAGCGUUGUUCGGAAUUACUGGGCGUAAAGCGCGCGUAGGCGGCUUUGUAAGUUAGAGGUGAAAGCCCGGGGCUCAACCCCGGAACUGCCUUUAAGACUGCAUCGCUUGAAUCCGGGAGAGGUGAGUGGAAUUCCGAGUGUAGAGGUGAAAUUCGUAGAUAUUCGGAAGAACACCAGUGGCGAAGGCGGCCAACUGGUCCGAUACUGACGCUGAGGCGCGAAAGCGUGGGGAGCAAACAGG